GUGCUCGUUUCAGCAGCACACAUACCAAAACUGGAACAAUACAGAGAUGAUUAGCAUGGCCCCUGCCCAAGGAUGACACGCAAAUUCGUGAAGCGUUACAUAUUUAA
rnacentral:snRNA from 1 species